CGGGCCGGGCGGGACGCACGGGCGCGGCGGCGGCGGCGGCGCAGCGACCCCUGCUGGAAGCUGCGCCUCGGAGGACUGCGCGGGAGGGCCGACGGAGGGACACGCCGCGCUCUGAGCCCAGCGCGGAAGCCAGCGCGGAGCUGUUACACGUGGCCGAAGAGAGCUUAGGCUAAAGCAGUGGGCCUUGAAUCCUCUGGCGUCCUAACCCUGUGGAACAUCUUUGAGAAUUACAGGCCGUGAUCUUCAGCAAAAUAGAUACACUGCCGGAAUUGACUGAGACUAUAAAGGAAGUUCAGAACAUCUUUUCAGGAAUAAAGCGAUUAACCCUGGCAGAUUGCCUCCUAUUGUAAGCUUCCUGGAGAGAUGGUGGCAUUUUCCAAGUGGAGGGUCCCAAUCUCUUCCAUAAUAGACAUCGGAACCAUCAGACUGGAAAAGUGAACUACGUAUAACCUUUCGGUGGGCUGGCGCAGGGCUGUUUGCUGAAUCAAGUUGGGAAUCCAUAGCCCAGGGCACUGCUCCUAUCUACCCCAGAGAGGAAGGGAGAGGAAUAGAGAGUUAGAAACAUCGAUGAGAGAGAAACAUCCAUCAGUUGCUUCCUGCACACCUCCUACUGGGGAUGUGCCCGAAACCAAGGUACAUGCCCAUAACCGGAAUGGAACCUGGGACCUUUCAGUCAGCUGGCCGACUCUCUAUCCACUGAGCCAAACCGGUUAGGGCGAUUUUUCUCUUUUAAUAUGUUAAUAUGAUAGUCUGUGUGUA